GACCCAAGGGCUCCAGUCGUGGAGCCUGCGGACUUACCAUCACGGAGCUGGCUGACACUGUGGUGGCACUGCGGCUGCGACCUGACUUCGCAGCUUCGGAGGCUUCGGGGGCUCCCGCAAUGGCAACUUCACCCGCCCCGAAUCGCAGGGUUUGAAUUGGCCCGUCGCAGGGCCUUACAUCGCCCGGCACGACUUAAUCAGCCGCGGGACUUAUCAUCACCCGCUGGGGGCUUUAACAUCAAGAGCCUUGAUCGCCUCGAUGCAGCAGUUUAACUGCCUGACCGCGCGGGAGAAGAACAGGGAAGAGAAAAGACUUUUGCCUUCCAUCACAGUGAGGAGGCGUUAGGAGAUUCACUGUGAUGGAUGUUUGUGUGGAACUGUGUUAAUUGUGUGUUUGUUUUUUUUGCUGUUAUGAAUGCAGGGAAUAAAAUUUUGUUCAAACCUUUGUUUGUUUGAAUGACAAUAAAGGCAUUAUAAUUCUAAUUCUAAUUCUAAAGCAGAGGAAUCGAUUGAAUUGUCAGCGUUAGAGAUCAGGACUGAACCAUGCAUCUCUGCUAAGAAAUGGCAAUGCUAAAUAUCUACCACUGAGUGAAUUCUGAUGUUCUUAAUCUUUCUUCCAAACCACAUUUUAAGUCUGACCAGAGUUGAACAAAAGCUCGUUCCAGGAGUUCGGAGAUAGAGCUUAUCUGUUUCAGGAGCUGUCUGCUGUGCUGCCAUCUGCUUACGAACGGUCAGUUGUGUUAGUUCAUUCAACCGAUUCAGUGCAACUAUCUCUCCAAAAUUAGGAAAUAGAAUGUGGAAAAAAAGUUCAUCAAGAAGGAGGCUGCAAUUUGGACUAUCUAAAAAUAAAAGCCCUGAAAUUGUGAGUCUCUCUGCUUAUUGCACACUGAAAAUUGCAGACUGUGGAUCACCUUGAGAACUGGCCAGCUAAAUAUAAUAUUGCCAGCAACACCAUAACAGAAGUCCUCCAGAUACUGGAGGUUAUUGUAAGAGGCUUGGAAGAUUUGUGUUAAGGGUGCAGGCGGAAGGGUAGUGGCAUUAGACCUGGUUCCUCAGAUACCUUCAGGGCUGAUGAAAAGUCAACAGGCAAAAGCAAAGGAGAUUCCAAGCCCAAGGAAUGAGUGCAUCUGCUGGAGUUUCUGAGCACUGCAUAUGUCAGCUGAAGGAGGAAAAUCACCAGGUAUUUCAAAACAGGGCUGUGCUCUGCUGGCCGAAACGAUCCUUGAUGUAGCAAUGGGAGGGUGUGAAAGGGAACUGCAAGACUCUCAAGGUAUCUGACUUUUCCAAUGCAUGGUAACGAAUGCUUUCAAAUAAAAUGGGCUUGUUUUGGGGUACAGCAUUCUUUCACAUCAUGGAGACGUUUGUUCAGUGACAUUUCAAUGCACCUCAGAGGCCAGCAAGCCCCUUGUCCUCGACUGUGAAAGAGUCCAGAUGAAUUACAUCGCCAAAUAGGAAAAAGACAAAGAAAUCACAGCAAUUCCUUACAUACAGAGCACUGACAAUGGUAAACCUAUGCCUUUUGUUGUAGACUAAUUGUAGAUUAAGCUCAUAAAUUUCACAUUUUGACAUAAUGGUGUGCAUUGACAGCAGACACUCAUUGAGCAAAAAUUCUGUUUGAUAAGUUUAUUAGUAUUUUCUUUAAUGUUACAAAGAUUAUGGUAAAGAGGUGGCCGAUUUGGGAGCUCCGGGCCACGGGGUGUGCUCAACCUGUCCCGUCGUCGGCGUUCUGACCACCCCGACUAGAGGGCUUGAACAUCGGGCCGUCCGUAGCGGCGACAACGGAGGGUCAGGGCCCCGACCACGGGGAACAAGGGAGGAGGAGGAGAAGGACUGUCUGGACUGUAUUGCCUUCCACCACAGUGAAGAAUGUUGUGUUGAAUUAUGUUGUGUAUUGUGUCCUUUUUUAAUUGUAACGCUGCAUGAUAAAUUACAUCAUGGUAUGUAAUUUAUGGUGAAUGUGACAAAUAAAUUUGAACUUGAACUUGAAGAGGAUGGAUGAAAGAGAACCAGCUGAUGUGAUAUAUUUGGAAUUCCUACAAGGCAUUCGACAAGGUGUUAUGUGGAAGAUCAGUGCGCACACAGACCUUGUGGCAUGGUGGUAAAAUACUAUCAUGGACAGAAGAUUGAACAAUUAAAUAAAAUAAGUGGAUAAUUUUCAAGAUUGGUAUGUUUAACUAGUGUGGUG